GAUUAUAAGAAAGCACAGGAAACAUGUUUCCAAAAUCCUUAUUUUUAUUGUUUGCUUUAACUGUAGCAUCAUGUACAGCCUUCAUCUCUAGCACAGCAAAGCAGCUCAGCACACACAAAGCCCUAUUCAAGACCAGCAGAAGUGGAACCUCAGUUACAUAAUGCAGUACAUGCAGGAGUCAGUUUAUCAUAAUAUCCAAGUACAGUUACUCUGAUUCUUGCUUCUUUCAGGGCUGUUGAAAAGUUUCGUUUUAGGAGUGCAAAGAGAAAAUAGCUGCAACUUUUAUAGACAUGACUCAUGUUUAAACCCAAAUUCUUAAGUCUGAGUUAUUGAACUACAGCAGGGACCCUUCUUCAGUUGUGAAAAAAGUUUGCUCUGAAGUAAAUCCUUAACCUCUAAAGAAGCCAAUGAUGUAGGAGCAGAACUCAUGCAGGGAUUCCCAGCAAUGUUCCCGUGCCAGUUUCAUUGCUUCGGUUUCAUUUUCAGAACCCUGACCAUGCUGGGUUGGUUUUAUACGAGGUAACACUGCAGGUUUCCCUGUUUUCUUAACAGAGCUCUUCCCAGCUCCUCGCACAGAAGCUGAAGUUUUCUGGGAUGAUUUGUCCCGAUUCGCUCCAUCUUCCGGCUCCACGCCAGCAGCUACUUGCUUCAUGAGGGCAUCCACAGGAGCCUUCUGGCACAUGCUGGCCUUCAACAUUUGUGUAGAUUCGCAGGCAUGAGGGAGCUUUCUAAGUUCCAUGGUGAUCUGAUUCCAGUACAUUUUUGGAUUGUUUUGGAAAGGAUGACAGAGCAAUGGCAUGCCAGUGUAUUCACACCAGUAGGACUUGCCUUGGCCUUUGCAUUCAAUUCUCGCUUUCAUCUCUUCAUCCCCACUUAUUCUCAUUGUGCAGACGUCUUUGGUUUUCGUCCGAAAAUUGAUUUCUUCACCGUUGCUCCUUUUCUUUGGUUUCAGCUUUUGUCCCAAUCCUCCCAUGCCACAGAUCACUACCAGGAAAAGAAGAGCAACUCUCUUCAUGGCGAGAGGAACUGACUGCGAUCCUUCAGCAAAAUGACCUGAAAAAGUGGAAGUAGUAAGCACCUGGCUGCUCUCAAUUUAAAGGCUUGGUGCACAAAGAAGCCUCUUUCCAGCUUCACGUGGGAUGGAUGUAAUUUUUUAAAAAUAUUUAUUUAAAUAAUAAAUCACCCUUCAGUAGGCAUGUACCCAUAAUUUAUAGCCUGAGGAAGUGCCGAAUAAGCUGUGAACUCCCAUGAAGGUAACAAGACAAAUCUUGUAAAUGCAGUUAAAUACAGAACGAUAGUUGUAUAACUGAGAAGCACAUUCCUAUCCAGAAUGAACAUGUCAUAUUUGAUUUUUAGCAGGUCUUUUCCAUUCUCCAGCUGCUUUAUAGCUAUCUUCAAGACAGAACUUGUAAUGCCAUUUUAAAGUAAAAAAGAUAAAACUUCCAAAACAAUCUACACGGCUGCAUCUGGGUGAUUAUGUACAUGUGAAUCUAAUGAGAUUCAACAAGGCCAAACGAAAGGUGUUGCACUUGGGUUUGGGCCAUCCCAGAUAUGUCUACAGACUGGAAGAAGAACUCACUGAGAGCAGCCCUGCACAGAAGGACUUGGGAGUCUUGAUGGCCAAAAGUUGGACCUGAGGCAGCAGCGUGCACUUGCAGCCCAAGAAGGCCAACAGUAUCUUGCGCUGCAUCAACAGAAGCGUAGCCAGCAGGGAGACCGAGGGGACUGUCUCCCUCUGCUCUGCCCUCAUGAGACCCCAAGUGCAGUACUGUAUCCAGGCCUGGGGCCCG
rnacentral:lncRNA from 1 species